rnacentral:rRNA from 1 species
GACGAACGCUGGCGGCGUGCCUAAUACAUGCAAGUCGAGCGGAUGAAGGAGGAGCUUGCUCCUCCUGAUUCAGCGGCGGACGGGUGAGUAACACGUGGGCAACCUGCCCUGUAGAUUGGGAUAACUCCGGGAAACCGGGGCUAAUACCGAAUAAUCCACCGGACCUCAUGGUCUGGUGUUGAAAGACGGCAUCUCGCUGUCACUACAGGAUGGGCCCGCGGCGCAUUAGCUAGUUGGUGAGGUAACGGCUCACCAGGGCCACGAUGCGUAGCCGACCUGAGAGGGUGAUCGGCCACACUGGGACUGAGACACGGCCCAGACUCCUACGGGAGGCAGCAGUAGGGAAUCUUCCACAAUGGACGAAAGUCUGAUGGAGCAACGCCGCGUGAGUGAAGAAGGUUCUCGGAUCGUAAAACUCUGUUGUGAGGGAAGAACAAGUACCGGAGUAACUGCCGGUACCUUGACGGUACCUCAUUAGAAAGCCACGGCUAACUACGUGCCAGCCGCCGCCGUAA